CGAGGUGAAGGCUUGUUGGUAAGCCGCAUGCUCGGGGAGCAUGAGAUUGUGCGUUCGACUCGCACCACCUCGACCA
rnacentral:tRNA from 2 species